UGGAAAGCUGACAAAAAGCCAACCCUGCUCCAACUGAUGGCAGCUUUGACUUAUUUUUCUUGUGUGCAAAUGACAGAAGCAAACUCCAAGCAAUGGAGGAUCAGACCCCAAUGCAAGCAUUUUCAGUCCUGCUGAAGCUAUGCUUAGCCUGAACUGCAGCUCAGCGUCCAAGCUUCACUCUUAAUAAAUGGAAGGGAACCUUAAAUAUGGGUCCAGGUCUCCAGUGAGAAAUACUUGUGUAGAAAAGACAGAAGGGAAAACACAAAAAUGGGCUUCUCCUGCCCUAAUUGCAACUACAAGUAUGUUGAGUGUGCAUUUGAAAGACAGAGGUAAGUAGUGCUUGUAAACAGCAGCAAAGCUAGUGAAACAGGACAAUAGCCAAGGGUCACCGUAGCCAUACCUAGCUUGCAGAAACCUUAUUUGAGGAAGAGAACCAAUAUAGCCCUGUAGGUAUAAUUGUUAUCUCCUGCUGGAUGUCCUUGCUGCAUUUUAUAUGAAGCUUGAUUAUAUAAAUGGGUUGCAUAUUCUGGAAACACUUCAACGUGUGGGAAAAAUAGAUGGAGAACGGGCUGAUGCCUGGAUUUCACUCAAAGUAAAAAGCAGCUGUUCCGAGUUCUGAGCUGCUACAAGUAGACCUGCCCUAGAUGUGCCCUCAAGCAGAUUUUGGAGGCAUGGUGCUGAAGUCUUAACUGGGCUUCAUAUGGUCUGUUCCCCACAAAAUGUUUAGUAUCUAGAGGCAGAAUAGCAGGCACAUUUUGAAACUUCCUGUGUUUGUAUUUAGGGACAUAUUUUCUGUCCAUUUAGUGGAUACAGACACUCUCCUUUAUUGACAUUGUGGAGUGAAGGGUAACUGCUGUACCUUACCAGCCAAAAUAAAAUAGAACUACCAUCUUAGGAAUAUUGCCUCUGAGCGUAAAAACUGAGUAACACAGGCUGGGCAGCAAGUUGUUUAAUAUACAGGAAAAGGUGUACAGGUUAAAGAAUAUUCAGAUAAAUUUGAUAUGUUCAAGUCAGCAGGGCCUGAUGAAAUUUACCCCGGAGUACUUAAGGAACUAGCUAAAGUGAUCUCUGAAAUAUUAGCAAUUAUCUUUGAGAGCUCAUGGAGGGUGGGUGAGGUACCAGAGAACAGGUGAAAGGCAAACACAAUAUUUAUCUUUAGAAAGGGGAAACAGGAAGACCCAGGGAAUUAUAGGCCAAUCAGCCUGACUGAAACUAAGAAAAAUGCAGAAGCAAAUUAUUGAAUAAUCACUAUGUAAACAUCUAGAGGAGAAUAAGAUGCUAAGAAACAGCCGGCAUGGGUUUGUCAAGACCAAAACACAUCAAAGCAACCUUAUUUCCUUCUUUCAUUGGGUAACUGCCCCAGUGGAUAAGGGAGAAGUAGCAGAAGUGGAUAGAUUUUUACUUGAGCGAAGCUUUUGACAUACAUCAGCACAACUUUUUUGUAAGUAAAUAGGAGGAAUAUGGCUUUGAUGAAAUUCUGUGAUGAAUGAAAAACUAUUUGAAAAAUUUGGCUUAUUGGUAAAGCAGUUAUCCAUGGUUUGUUGACAAACUGGUAAAACAUAUCAAAUAAGAUGCCACAGAAGUUUCUCUUAGGUUCAGUAUUGUUCAAUAUUUUCAGCUUUGAUGAUCGAAUAUGAAGAAAACUUUUGAAAACUGCAUGUGAUACUGAAUUAGGAGGGGCUGCAACCACUUUAGAGAGUAGGUUUUGAAUACAAAAUGAGCUUGAUAAAUUGAAGGAAGAGUCUGAAAUCAGUUGGAUGAGUUGCUGAGGGGCAUGGUUUAGGCAGUGUUAGGAAUGGUUGGACUCGAUGACUCAGUGGGUCCCUUCCAACCUAGUGAUUCUAUGAUUCUAUGAUGAAAUUCAAUGAAGACAAAUGCAAAGUAUCAUUUCUGAGGAAGAAAAAAAUCAAAUGCACAAGUAUUAAAUGGGAAACAACUAGUUUGGGAGCAAUUUUCAGAAAAAUGGCCUAGCACAGACCACAAAAAAAAUUAAAUGCAGAAAUGUGAAAAUGACCAAAGAGUAAAUUCCAUGCUGUCUGAAUUAAUAGUAAUGUUGUGAAUAAUUGAGAAGUAACUAUUUAAUUCUGCCCUGGGUAGUAGGGCCUGACCUAGGAAUAUUACGCUUGUGUCCAACAGUGAUGAAACAUUUUAAAGUAUAGACAAUUUGCAAAUAAUUCCCCUUUUGAAAGGAGAAAGAAUAAAGCUUAGAAAAUAUCUUCUACUACCAGGAAAAACUGAAUUAACUUACUUCUUUUUUCUAGGAAAGGAAAGAGGCAUAAUGGUCAUAAAGUAUGGGAAAAUGUUACACAAAAAUUUUAUAGAGGAAAGGACACCUACUCUGCUUGUCUAGAAACAGGUGGAGUAAGCUGAAGCAAGAGAUACGCAGAUUAGAUAGAAUUCAGAUAGAUGCUCUGGCUGUGGGGAUGUUAUAGCACUGGAACAGGGCUUCUAAGAAUAUUCUGGAAUCCUUGUUUCAAAUCCUGAAAAUAGGUCAGACAGACAUCUGUCAGUGACAUGAAACAGAUGCCCUCUUGAGAGCACUUUUACUUUCACAUUUCUACAGUAAUACACCUCAGUCAAGACAAAUAGUCCCAUGAAUGAAAUAAGCAAGAAUUGCAUACACACACAGAGACAUGCAUUUUCCCCAAAACUCCCACCCUUCCCUUGAAAAACCAUUUUAAAAUUGUUGUACACUUUCACACAAUCUUCUACUCUCAUUUUCACCUGCCUUUGCCUUGAAACAAGGGCAACAGUCAUUAGUGAUUCCAUACUUAUAUAAAAGAUUAUGAAGCUAAGCAGGGCUGCCUUCUACUCUAACAUCCAAUCCAGCACAUUGACUUUUCUGGGCUGGCUUUACAACUGUGUAAAAGCAAGACCUAAAACCAUUAAAAAGCGCCUUUUUCAAAGUGUUUGCUGCAAGCUGCUCUAAGAAGUGCUUUUUUCUUUUGAUCUUUGUACUUUUGAUGAAGCUACACAAUCUGAGAAUGAUGUUUUAUAAAUACGUCUUCUCCCUUUUAAUGAUAAUCACAGGACAAACUGCAUGGUACUUCUGUGAGGUUUUAUUGGCAUUAUUUUGAACCAGUGUGUUAUUUAUGGGACCAUCCAAGACACAAUGCACAAACCACACGGUAUCUUCAUGUUAUGUUUUCUGUGUGAGCCACACGCGUCUUAAAACAUAGCCUUGAAAUAUUUAGUGAGAUGUAGGAUGUUCUUUUAAGGCUGUAAGUCCAGAAAUCUUAGCCAUCAAAUGUUGAUCUGUAUGAAGUCUGUGAAAAGAAAAAACACUGUUUUAAAUGACUGAUUUACACUAUCCAACUGAAAUUUGACUGCAAGAUUUGCACACUGCAUUGCAGGGGAUGCUACUCCAAAGUGACACUCAAAGAGCUGAAUGUU